rnacentral:rRNA from 1 species
GUGAUUAGUUUCGUAGGUGACCUGCGGAGGAUCAUUACUGAGUGAGGGUUCCUUCGGGGCCCAACCUCCCACCCUUGUAUACCGUACCUAGUUGCUUCGGCGGGCCCGCCGUUCACGCGGCCGCCGGGGGGGGGUUUCCCCCCCGGGCGAGCGCCCGCCGGAGACACCAACGUGAACACUGUCUGAAGUUUUGUCGUCUGAGUCGAUUGUAUCGCAAUCAGUUAAAACUUUCAACAAUGGAUCUCUUGGUUCCGGCAUCGAUGAAGAACGCAGCGAAAUGCGAUAAUUAAUGUGAAUUGCAGAAUUCAGUGAAUCAUCGAGUCUUUGAACGCACAUUGCACCCCCUGGUAUUCCGGGGGGUAUGCCUGUCCGAGCGUCAUUUCUGCCCUCAAGCACGGCUUGUGUGUUGGGUCCUCGUCCCCCCGGGGACGGGCCCGAAAGGCAGCGGCGGCACCGCGUCCGGUCCUCGAGCGUAUGGGGCUUUGUCACCCGCUCUUGUAGGCCCGGCCGGCGCUGGCCGACGCUGAAAAGCAACCAAUUAUUUUUCCAGGUUGACCUCGGAUCAGGUAGGGAUACCCGCUGAACUUAAGCAUAUCAAUAAGCCGGAGGCAC